GACGGAAGGUGCAAGCGUUGCUCGGAAUCACUGGGCGUAAAGGGUGCGUAGGCGGCUUGGUGGGUCUGGUGUGAAAGCCCCGGGCUCAGCCCGGGAAGGGCACUAGAAACUGCCGAGCUGGAGUGCCGGAGGGGAGAGUGGAAUUCCUGGUGUAGCGGUGAAAUGCGUAGAUAUCGGAAGGAACAUCAGUGGCGAAAGCGGCCUCCUGGACCAGCACCGACGUUCAGGCACGAAAGCGUGGGGAGCAAACAGG
rnacentral:rRNA from 1 species